AAGACUAUACUUUCAGGGAUCAUUUCUAUAGUUCGUUACUAGAGAAGUUUCUCUGAUCGUGUAGAGCACCCGAAACCACGAGGAAGAGACGCAGCGUUUUCUCCUGAGCAUGAAGUUGGCGUUUGGUGCUGCUGGACGCAGCUGCCAUCGGCCGUUGAUCGUUCUUCUCUCCCGUCUGGGAGAGUAAGAGGGAGAAAACGCCGUCUGAGUGAA
ensembl:snoRNA U3 Small nucleolar RNA U3